AGAUUAGCCAUGCAUGUCUAAGUAUAAGCAAUUUUACGGUGAAACUGCGAAUGGCUCAUUAAAUCAGUUAUAGUUUAUUUGAUGGUACUUUACUACAUGGAUAACUGUGGUAAUUCUAGAGCUAAUACAUGCGUAAAAGCCCCAACUUUUUGGAAGGGGUGUAUUUAUUAGGUAAAAACCAACCGCUUCGGCGUCCUUUGGUGAAUCAUAAUAACUUUUCUAAUCGCAUGGCCUUGUGCCGGCGAUGCUUCAUUCAAAUAUCUGCCCUAUCAACUUUGAUGGUAGGAUAGAGGCCUACCAUGGUUGCAACGGGUAACGGGGAAUAAGGGUUCGAUUCCGGAGAGGGAGCCUGAGAAACGGCUACCACAUCCAAGGAAGGCAGCAGGCGCGCAAAUUACCCAAUCCCGACACGGGGAGGUAGUGACAAUAAAUAACAAUAUAGGGCCUUACAGGUCUUAUAAUUGGAAUGAGUACAAUUUAAAUCCCUUAACGAGGAACAAUUGGAGGGCAAGUCUGGUGCCAGCAGCCGCGGUAAUUCCAGCUCCAAUAGCGUAUAUUAAAGUUGUUGCAGUUAAAAAGCUCGUAGUUGAAUUUCAGGCCCUGGUCGUUCGGUCCGCCUCACGGCGUGCACUGUUUCGAUUGGGCCUUCCUUUCUUGGUGAGCCUUGUAUGCCGUUUAUUCAGUGUACAAGUGUCUGGCCAGGACUUUUACUUUGAAAAAAUUAGAGUGUUCAAAGCAGGCCUAUGCCCGAAUAUAUUAGCAUGGAAUAAUAGAAUAGGACGUUGCGGUCCUAUUUUGUUGGUUUCUAGGAUCCGCCGUAAUGAUUAAUAGGGAUAGUCGGG
rnacentral:rRNA from 1 species